CAGCACCUCAAGUGGUCAGGAUGAUUAUUGGGCCUAAAGCAUCCGUAGCCGGCUCUAUAAGUUUUCGGUUAAAUCUGUAUGCUCAACAUACAGGCUGCCGGGAAUACUGCAGAGCUAGGGAGUGGGAGAGGUAGACGGUACUCGGUAGGAAGGGGUAAAAUCCUUUGAUCUAUUGAUGACCACCUGUGGCGAAGGCGGUCUACCAGAACACGUCCGACGGUGAGGGACGAAAGCUGGGGGAGCAAACCGGAUUAGAGACCCGAGUAGUCC
rnacentral:rRNA from 1 species